GUUAUAAUCUUUUAUUGGCAAAUAUUAUUAAACACACAGAAAAAAAUCUUAAUACUGUCAUGAUAAUGCUGAAACAAUAACAGUUAUGUUAUUAUCACCGAAUAUUAUUCCUAAUUUUACAUCAUGCAAAAG